CAGUCGCCGCGGUAACACGUAGGGUGCGAGCGUUAAUCGGAAUUACUGGGCGUAAAGCGUGCGCAGGCGGUUAUAUAAGACAGAUGUGAAAUCCCCGGGCUCAACCUGGGACCUGCAUUUGUGACUGUAUAGCUAGAGUACGGUAGAGGGGGAUGGAAUUCCGCGCGUAGCAGUGAAAUGCGUAGAUAUGCGGAGGAACACCGAUGGCGAAGGCAAUCCCCUGGACCUGUACUGACGCUCAUGCACGAAAGCGUGGGGAGCAAACAGGAUUAGAGACCCCCGUAGUCCCUGUCUCUUAUAC
rnacentral:rRNA from 1 species